rnacentral:rRNA from 1 species
CCUACGGGCGGCUGCAGUGGGGAAUAUUGCACAAUGGGCGAAAGCCUGAUGCAGCAACGCCGCGUGAAGGAAGAAGGGUUUCGGCUCGUAAACUUCUAUCAACAGGGACGCAAGAAAUGACGGGACCUGCAUAAUAAGCCCCGGCUCACUACGUGCCAGCAGCCGCGGUAAUACGUAGGGGGCAAUCGGUAUCCGGAAUGACUGGGUGUAAAGGGUGAGUAGGCGGCAUGGUAAGCCAGAUGUGAAAGCCUUGGGCUUAACCCGAUGAUUGGAUUUGUAACUAUCAAGCUAGAGUACAGGAGAGGAAAGCGGAAUUCGUGGUGUAGCGGUGAAAUGCGUAGAUAUUAGGAAGAACACCAGUGGCGAAGGCGGCUUUCUGGACUGAAACUGACGCUGAGGCACGAAAGCGUGGGGAGCGAACAGGAUUAGAUACCCCAGUAGUC